rnacentral:tRNA from 4 species
GCCCGUGUAGCUCAGUUGGUAGAGCAUUUCCAUGGUAAGGAAAAGGUCGUCGGUUCGAUUCCGACCGCGGGCU